rnacentral:rRNA from 1 species
UACGGAGGAUCCGAGCGUUAUCCGGAUUUAUUGGGUUUAAAGGGUGCGCAGGCGGGAUGUUAAGUCGGCGGUGAAAUUUUGCAGCUCAACUGUAAAAGUGCCUUCGAUACUGGCUUUCUUGAGUGUGGAUGAAGUAGGCGGAAUUUGUGGUGUAGCGGUGAAAUGCUUAGAUAUCACGAGGAACUCCGAUUGCGCAGGCAGCUUACUAAACUACUACUGACGCUCAGGCACGAAGGCGUGGGGAGUCAAACAGGAUUAGAUACCCU